UACGUAGGGGGCAAGCGUUAUCCGGAUUUACUGGGUGUAAAGGGAGCGCAGACGGCAGCGCAAGUCCGGGGUGAAAGCCCGCGGCCCAACCGCGGGACUGCCCUGGAAACUGUGCGGCUGGAGUGCCGGAGAGGUAAGCGGAAUUCCUAGUGUAGCGGUGAAAUGCGUAGAUAUUAGGAGGAACACCAGUGGCGAAGGCGGCUUACUGGACUGUAACUGACGUUGAGGCUCGAAAGCGUGGGGAGCAAACAGG
rnacentral:rRNA from 1 species